CUCAGUAGCAAAACCGUUAGAAGAUUGUCUCAUGUUUAAAACAUGAUUUGGAUCAAUAUGCUUCCGUAAUAGGGAUUAUGAGAUUGAUUUACUCUACUUUUCUAGCUAUCCUGGGGUUGCUUAAUUAUGUCUUUCUACUAACCUAUCUAAAUAUGUCAGCUAGAAAGUAGAGAUGUUUCCCUCUAUUCAAAGGGGUUAGCAUUAAUAAUGUAAAAGUCUAUGACAAAAAAGGGAGAAUGAAUGUCCUCUAAAGACAUCUAUAAAGUAUUGGGUAGCUCGAAAUGUACCGAUUUAAUAAAAGAUACAAUCAACACAUGGCGGCUAUUGACAUGGUCCUUUUUUUUUACAAAUGACAUUAAUAAUCAUUAGGCUACAAAUAAAUUCAAUUUAGAAUGCUGUUUUAUUUUAUGGCCCGCUAACAAAUGAAAGGCCCGAUGUUUUUCUUUUUUUUUGGGAUUUUCUAGACUCCUAUCUUUUUUCUGGUUGCUCCGUCAUGUACUUUUAAUAUAUACCUAUCUAAAAAAUACGGACCGUUCCCUUCACCGUCCUCUGUCAAACUUUCCAAAAAAUUUAUGGGCCCCCCAAGAUUGCACAUAUAUUAGGCCUACUAAGCCGGCUGGCUCGUUACCUACACCAAAUUGGACUGGAACUAUUAAGCCGGCUGGCCCGUUAUCUGCACCGAAUUGGACUGGAACUCCGCGAGGGAAUUCAUCGCCAGCGGGAUCAUUACGAGAGUCGGGCAACAACUCUGAAUCUGACGAGAAAAAGAUCGCUCCGCCGAAACACUACGGGAGUCGGAAGAUGAGACCCGAUCGGGCACCCAUCGGGCAAGAAACCGAAGCCACGGCCGUCCCAUCUGUCUCCCAGGCGCGGCCACGGCUGGUCCCCUCUUUCGUUUCCUAG
rnacentral:lncRNA from 1 species